UAGAUAUUGUAAAAUACGUCUUAAUCCGGACUUUGUAAUUACAAUAUGUCUCCGGACGCUGUUUUUUUUUCCGUUCCCGGAAGUGGCUAGCUACAAGUUGUACAACCAUCGGCUACAACACCUGGAAGUAGAUCGCUUGUUCAGAGGCCCCUGGCCUAACCAAAGAGAUGCGAAUACCUGCCGCUGGGCAUCAUCUUAUGCUCCUUCAUUCACGACUGGUGUGGUUCAUUUGUGCUGGGACCCUGGCCCAUCACUGUGGCGCAUUGAUCAGCACGGUUGCCUUCGCCAGGUUCUGGGUUGGAGUCCUGGCUGGCCCGGAUCCGCUCUGUGUGGGGUUUGCGUGUUUUCCCUGCGGGUUUCCGCCCGGCGCUCCGAUCUCCUCCCACAGCCAAAACAUGCAGCCCCAGGACUACAGUCCUCCAGCAGGGCCGCGCUGUCGCUGCAGUUGGGGGAGGACGUUCAUGUGCGGCUAGCACAGACACUCGAGUGACCAGAGAAGCUCGUGUGCAGCUGUGCUCGGAUGUCCACAGUAAGCUCCCCUGUAAAAAAUUUUAACAGGCCCCCAUAAACUGGGCCUCUAAGGCAGGAGAGGCGUCCAAUCAUACUUACAGCAGGAACUGAGACAGGAGCCAUUUUAGAGCUGACGCCAGGCCAUAGAAGGGCUGCAGGGAACAGAGAAGAGAGAAUUCUCGGUUGCUGAGAGACGGUCAACUUUCACUAACC